UGGGGUGUAGCUCAGUGGUAAAGCAUUUGCUGAAUACUAGUAAAGUUCCAGGUUCAAUCCCUAGUUCUCCAA
rnacentral:tRNA from 1 species